AUUGAACGCUGGCGGCAUGCCUUACACAUGCAAGUCGAACGGCAGCACGGGAGCAAUCCUGGUGGCGAGUGGCGAACGGGUGAGUAAUACAUCGGAACGUGCCCAAUCGUGGGGGAUAACGCAGCGAAAGCUGUGCUAAUACCGCAUACGAUCUACGGAUGAAAGCAGGGGAUCGCAAGACCUUGCGCGAAUGGAGCGGCCGAUGGCAGAUUAGGUAGUUGGUGAGGUAAAGGCUCACCAAGCCGUCGAUCUGUAGCUGGUCUGAGAGGACGACCAGCCACACUGGGACUGAGACACGGCCCAGACUCCUACGGGAGGCAGCAGUGGGGAAUUUUGGACAAUGGGCGAAAGCCUGAUCCAGCCAUGCCGCGUGCAGGAUGAAGGCCUUCGGGUUGUAAACUGCUUUUGUACGGAACGAAACGGCCUUUUCUAAUAAAGAGGGCUAAUGACGGUACCGUAAGAAUAAGCACCGGCUAACUACGUGCCAGCAGCCGCGGUAAUACGUAGGGUGCAAGCGUUAAUCGGAAUUACUGGGCGUAAAGCGUGCGCAGGCGGUUAUGUAAGACCGUUGUGAAAUCCCCGGGCUCAACCUGGGAACUGCAUCUGUGACUGCAUAGCUAGAGUACGGUAGAGGGGGAUGGAAUUCCGCGUGUAGCAGUGAAAUGCGUAGAUAUGCGGAGGAACACCGAUGGCGAAGGCAAUCCCCUGGACCUGUACUGACGCUCAUGCACGAAAGCGUGGGGAGCAAACAGG
rnacentral:rRNA from 1 species